GAUUGAGAGCUUGCUCUCAAGAAGUUAGCGGCGGACGGGUGAGUAACACGUGGGUAACCUGCCCAUAAGACUGGGAUAACUCCGGGAAACCGGGGCUAAUACCGGAUAACAUUUUGAACCGCAUGGUUCGAAAUUGAAAGGCGGCUUCGGCUGUCACUUAUGGAUGGACCCGCGUCGCAUUAGCUAGUUGGUGAGGUAACGGCUCACCAAGGCAACGAUGCGUAGCCGACCUGAGAGGGUGAUCGGCCACACUGGGACUGAGACACGGCCCAGACUCCUACGGGAGGCAGCAGUAGGGAAUCUUCCGCAAUGGACGAAAGUCUGACGGAGCAACGCCGCGUGAGUGAUGAAGGCUUUCGGGUCGUAAAACUCUGUUGUUAGGGAAGAACAAGUGCUAGUUGAAUAAGCUGGCACCUUGACGGUACCUAACCAGAAAGCCACGGCUAACUACGUGCCAGCAGCCGCGGUAAUACGUAGGUGGCAAGCGUUAUCCGGAAUUAUUGGGCGUAAAG
rnacentral:rRNA from 1 species